UACGGAGGGUGCAAGCGUUAUCCGGAUUCACUGGGCUUAAAGGGCGCGUAGGCGGGCUCGCCAGUCAGGGGUGAAAGCCCACGGCUCAACCGUGGAAGUGCCUUUGAUACUGCGAGUCUCGAGGGAGGUAGGGGCGUGCGGAACUUCCGGUGGAGCGGUGAAAUGCGUAGAUAUCGGAAGGAACACCGGUGGCGAAAGCGGCGCGCUGGACCUCUUCUGACGCUGAGGCGCGAAAGCCAGGGGAGCGAACGGG
rnacentral:rRNA from 1 species